rnacentral:lncRNA from 1 species
GCAAUAGCAAGAAAUGUUCAAUUGCACAGUAUUCCGCAAUAGCAAGAAAUCUUCAAUUGCACAGUAUUGUGCAAUAGCAAGAAAUGUUCAAUUGCACAGUAUUGCGUAAUAGCAAGAAAUCUUCAAUUGCACAGUAUUGUGCAAUAGCAAGAAUUUUUCAAUUGCACAGUAUUGCGCAAUAGCAAGAAAUAUCUAAUUGCACAAUAUUGCGCAAUAGCAAGAAAUUUUCAAUUGCACAGUUUUUAUAAAAUAUUCUUUGAAAAUUGGAGUUAUCUUUCUUUGGCCAGAAUAGUAGUUGAAUCAACUUAAAUCAUUGUUUUAUACAAUAUACAAUGUAUAUUCACUUUUACUACCAGC